rnacentral:misc_RNA from 1 species
CCUGAGAGCACCUAUGGCUUGGUCCUGGCCAAAGAGGGCGCGUCCAGCACUACUUCCUCAACAGAAACCGGCAAGGUGUCCAAGUUGCAGAUUGCUGGUCUUGUGGCAGAUGUCUUCUCCAACGUGGCAGUCGCGGAGAACAAGGUUGUCCAAGUUUCCACUAGCUCAUCAGUAACAUCCAAGACCAUAGAGGAGGCUUUCUCAGCUAUCCCUGAGGACAGUAGAAGGAAGG